CAUCCUCCAAGGCUAAAUACUCCUGACUGACCGAUAGUGAACCAGUACCGUGAGGGAAAGGCGAAAAGAACCCCGGCGAGGGGAGUGAAAAAGAACCUGAAACCGUGUACGUACAAGCAGUGGGAGCACAGGUUUACCUGUGUGACUGCGUACCUUUUGUAUAAUGGGUCAGCGACUUAUAUUCUGUAGCAAGGUUAACCGAAUAGGGGAGCCGUAGGGAAACCGAGUCUUAACCGGGCGUUAAGUUGCAGGGUAUAGACCCGAAACCCGGUGAUCUAGCCAUGGGCAGGUUGAAGGUUGGGUAACACUAACUGGAGGACCGAACCGACUAAUGUUGAAAAAUUAGCGGAUGACCUGUGGCUGGGGGUGAAAGGCCAAUCAAACCGGGAGAUAGCUGGUUCUCCCCGAAAGCUAUUUAGGUAGCGCCUCGUGAAUUCAUCUCCGGGGGUAGAGCACUGUUUCGGCUAGGGGGCCAUCCCGGCUUACCAACCCGAUGCAAACUGCGAAUACCGGAGAAUGUUAUCACGGGAGACACACGGCGGGUGCUAACGUCCGUCGUGAAGAGGGAAACAACCCAGACCGCCAGCUAAGGUCCCAAAGUCAUGGUUAAGUGGGAAACGAUGUGGGAAGGCCCAGACAGCCAGGAUGUUGGCUUAGAAGCAGCCAUCAUUUAAAGAAAGCGUAAUAGCUCACUGGUCGAGUCGGCCUGCGCGGAAGAUGUAACGGGGCUAAACCAUGCACCGAAGCUGCGGCAGCGA
rnacentral:rRNA from 1 species